CCAGUUUCUGAUCUGGGUAUAUGCUUCUUCUGGAUCCAAAAACUAAUGUCAAUGUCUCGCCACAGAUUGAUGACGCUCUUUGUCGCCAUCUUCAAAACUCAUGUUUGAUUUUCCUUAAUCGUCAAGUAAAUCGGAAAGUAUGUUAGCAAAAAAAAAAAAAAAAGUAAAUCGGAAAGUUUGAGUUUUAUCAACUUAUGAAUCGGAGAAAGUAAAUGCGUUGAUGAUUUUUCAGCAAGGGAGAAGAAGAUCACGUCAUAUUAAAACUUUUUUUUAUAUAUAAUGUUUAUACAAGCCCAACUAAUCAAAUUGUUAGAGGCC
rnacentral:lncRNA from 1 species